CUGAAAUGAAUUAGAGUUUUCUUAUGAAAAUAGCCUUUGUUGUCGGGCAGGCCAGUAAUUCAUAAACAAUAAGCAACGUCAUUGUGUGGAUAGUAAUAUAUUCAUGCCGUGGAAAGGCUAGAAGGCAGUCCAGGACUAUGGCUCUGUGGAUAAGGGGAGGGAAGAAUCGGUCCUGGACUCUUCAUUUGCAGUCUGCACAGUGGGUGGUUCUGGUAACCACCAAUUUCUCGCUUUCUCUCUCAUGAUACUGACAUGGUCCUCUGUGCUCUCCUCAUUUUCUUCAAUAAUUCUUUCACUUGCAUCUCACACGUCUCACUUCUGCCCGACUUAAAGGCCUCUCGUGUUUUGACCUGCAAGUUUUUUCAUUUCUUCGCUCUGUGUUUUGCUCUCUCCCUCCUCUCUUCUGUGAGCAGAGAAACUUCACGGCAGUGCUGGAUUCUGCUCACAAACUUUUACCGGUCCCAUCAUGGAUUAUUUGAAGGGACAUGAUAACUUCUGAUGGCAACUCUGCUUGUAACAAUUCAAGUAGAAGUUUGCACCUGGGGAUCGUGGACCAUGACGGGGUUGGAUUUGUCAGUGACUAGGAGAACAAGUGUCUACCUGCUUAUCAAGGAUGAACUUAGGAGUAAAGCAUGUCUAGAUGAACCAUCAUACAGCAGCUACAGGAAUGUUACGAUCUUUCGAUGGACCUAGAGAUCUUUCAUGACUCAUAAAUGGGUUUUUUCCACGGGCAAGCUGUAUAUGAAACAUGAAAAUAUGGAGAUUGUAUGCUUAUGACUACUUUAGCUUUUACAGGUUUGGUGUUGAUCUUGUGUGACCUGCAGCUUUUUUCUCCAAUAAUCAUAAGGAUUUUUUUCUGGCAUGUUCUCAGCUCCCUUCAUAGAAUUUACCAGGUCCUGCAACUGGUGCUAUGAAGACAGAAAAACAAGAAUGUUAUUUCCUUUCAGUGGAAAGUCUGGAAUUUCUGUUUUCCUGGAUAACUAAUAGUGGAAUGAUACAGGUGAUGCUGCAACAUGAUGACACUUAAAUAAAUCACCAGCUGUCAACAGUAUUCCGGUGGCGCAACUAUCCGGGGAAUGGGCCAACCCUGUCAUUUAACAGUAAGUUUAUCCUGUGGAGGAACAGAGAAACUGUGGGGAUAAAGUCUGCAGACCUAUCCCAUGACUAGGCUGGUGAAGGGGGGUGGAAAGCCACACCACAGCUGGGACAGGCCAGAUGUCUAUCACACUACCCUGGACGUGCUUCUCUUCCUCAUUCACAUCAGAGACCUGGAACACACUUUCAUCCCAGAUCAGGUGACCACAGCGGUUUGUGGAGUGAGGGCAGCAGGAU